rnacentral:rRNA from 1 species
GUGGGGAAUCUUGCGCAAUGGGCGAAAGCCUGACGCAGCCAUGCCGAGUGAAUGAUGAAGGUCUUAGGAUUGUAAAAUUCUUUCACCGGGGACGAUAAUGACGGUACCCGGAGAAGAAGCCCCGGCUAACUUCGUGCCAGCAGCCGCGGUAAUACGAAGGGGGCUAGCGUUGCUCGGAAUUACUGGGCGUAAAGGGCGCGUAGGCGGACAGUUUAGUCAGAGGUGAAAGCCCAGGGCUCAACCUUGGAAUUGCCUUUGAUACUGGCUGUCUUGAGUACGGGAGAGGUGAGUGGAACUCCGAGUGUAGAGGUGAAAUUCGUAGAUAUUCGGAAGAACACCAGUGGCGAAGGCGACUCACUGGCCCGUUACUGACGCUGAGGCGCGAAAGCGUGGGGAGCAAACAGGAUUAGAUACCCGAGUAGUCC